UUACGGUCAUACAAUUUUGAAACACCGGUUCUCGUAUGAUCACCAAAGCUAAGCAAAGUCGAACCUGAUCAGUACUUAGAUGGAUAACCACUUGGGAAUAACAGGUGCUGUAAG